UUGAUGAACUCAGUAUAAAGAGUUUCUUGGUUGCUGGAGGGAGUUGAACAACGAAUGAGAAAAGUGGUCAGUCCUAAGUUGGGAAAAUGGUAAAUACCAUCUGAACAGAGAAAACUUACACAAAAUCGAGAAAGUGCCCAAAACAGUAACAAGGCUUUCCAGUGAAGAGAAGAACAGACCAUCUCCAAGCCCCAGAGAAGCCAUGAGACUGGACCGUGGCAGGUCACAAUUUAGUUCUUCCGGACCUUAAAGUGUCAGCAGUGGCCACUGUCUCCCAAGACCUCUUACAAAAUCAUCUCAG